rnacentral:rRNA from 1 species
UACGGGAGGCAGCGGUAGGGAAUCUUCCGCAAUGGACGAAAGUCUGACGGAGCAACGCCGCGUGAGUGAUGAAGGUUUUCGGAUCGUAAAGCUCUGUUGUUAGGGAAGAACAAGUACCGUUCGAAUAGGGCGGUACCUUGACGGUACCUAACCAGAAAGCCACGGCUAACUACGUGCCAGCAGCCGCGGUAAUACGUAGGUGGCAAGCGUUGUCCGGAAUUAUUGGGCGUAAAGGGCUCGCAGGCGGUUUCUUAAGUCUGAUGUGAAAGCCCCCGGCUCAACCGGGGAGGGUCAUUGGAAACUGGGGAACUUGAGUGCAGAAGAGGAGAGUGGAAUUCCACGUGUAGCGGUGAAAUGCGUAGAGAUGUGGAGGAACACCAGUGGCGAAGGCGACUCUCUGGUCUGUAACUGACGCUGAGGAGCGAAAGCGUGGGGAGCGAACAGGAUUAGAUACCCUGGUAGUCCACGCCGUAAACGAUGAGUGCUAAGUGUUAGGGGGUUUCCGCCCCUUAGUGCUGCAGCUAACGCAUUAAGCACUCCGCCUGGGGAGUACGGUCGCAAGACUGAAACUCAAAGGAAUUGACGG